AGUGAACGCUGGCGGUAGGCCUAACACAUGCGAGUCGAACGGCAGCACAGUAAGAGCUUGCUCUUACGGGUGGUGAGUGGCGGACGGGUGAGGAAUACAUCGGAAUCUACUUUUUCGUGGGGGAUAACGUAGGGAAACUUACGCUAAUACCGCAUACGACCUACGGGUGAAAGCAGGGGAUCUUCGGACCUUGCGCGAUUGAAUGAGCCGAUGUCGGAUUAGCUAGUUGGCGGGGUAAAGGCCCACCAAGGCGACGAUCCGUAGCUGGUCUGAGAGGAUGAUCAGCCACACUGGAACUGAGACACGGUCCAGACUCCUACGGGAGGCAGCAGUGGGGAAUAUUGGACAAUGGGCGCAAGCCUGAUCCAGCCAUACCGCGUGGGUGAAGAAGGCCUUCGGGUUGUAAAGCCCUUUUGUUGGGAAAGAAAAGCAGCAGGUUAAUACCCCGCUGUCCUGACGGUACCCAAAGAAUAAGCACCGGCUAACUUCGUG
rnacentral:rRNA from 1 species